rnacentral:rRNA from 2 species
UACGUAGGGUGCAAGCGUUGUCCGGAAUUAUUGGGCGUAAAGAGCUCGUAGGCGGUUUGUCGCGUCUGCUGUGAAAACGCGAGGCUCAACCUCGCGCCUGCAGUGGGUACGGGCAGACUAGAGUGCGGUAGGGGAGAUUGGAAUUCCUGGUGUAGCGGUGGAAUGCGCAGAUAUCAGGAGGAACACCGAUGGCGAAGGCAGAUCUCUGGGCCGUAACUGACGCUGAGGAGCGAAAGCGUGGGGAGCGAACAGG